rnacentral:rRNA from 1 species
CAGAAAGACCCCGUAGAGCUUUACUGUAGCCUGACAUUGGAUUUUGGUGUGUUUUGUACAGGAUAGGUGGGAGACGUCGAACCCAGGCCGCCAGGUUUGGGGGAGUCGAUGGUGGGAUACCACUCUGAAUGCACUGAAGUUCUAACUUGGCACCCUGAAUCGGGUGUAAGGACCGUGUCAGGUGGGCAGUUUGACUGGGGCGGUCGCCUCCCAAAGAGUAACGGAGGCGCCCAAAGGUUCCCUCAGACUGGUUGGAAAUCAGUCCGAAGAGUGUAAAGGCACAAGGGAGCUUGACUGCGAGACAGACAAGUCGAGCAGGGACGAAAGUCGGGCUUAGUGAUCCGGCGGUAUUGAGUGGAAAAGCCGUCGCGCAACGGAUAAAAGCU